AGGACGUCGUACGUCAUGCAGA
rnacentral:miRNA from 1 species